GACGAACGCUGGCGGCGUGCUUAACACAUGCAAGUCGAACGGCAAGGCCCUGCUUUUGUGGGGUGCUCGAGUGGCGAACGGGUGAGUAACACGUGAGUAACCUGCCCUUGACUUUGGGAUAACUUCAGGAAACUGGGGCUAAUACCGGAUAGGAGCUCCUGCUGCAUGGUGGGGGUUGGAAAGUUUCGGCGGUUGGGGAUGGACUCGCGGCUUAUCAGCUUGUUGGUGGGGUAGUGGCUUACCAAGGCUUUGACGGGUAGCCGGCCUGAGAGGGUGACCGGCCACAUUGGGACUGAGAUACGGCGCAGACUCCUACGGGAGGCAGCAGUGGGGAAUAUUGCACAGUGGGAGGAAGCCUGAUGCAGCAACGCCGCGUGCGGGAUGACGGCCUUCGGGUUGUAAACCGCUUUCGCCUGUGACGAAGCGUGAGUGACGGUAAUGGGUAAAGAAGCACCGGCUAACUACGUG
rnacentral:rRNA from 1 species